GGCAUUUGCUCUGCAGAAGUCAGAAUUAAUAAGAGAUGCUGGAACUUGUUGCUAAGUGCUAGAAGUGCUAAACAAAGGUUUUCUAUAGAAACUCACAGCUUACCAUAGCUAAAGUAGAACUUUCCAGUACUGGACAGUUUCCAGCCUGCAAAUAAAUUAAAGAAGAAAUGAUACAGGUUCAUUUAGUGACAACAUGUUAUAUGGCUGCUGGAGAAAAUAUGAUGCUGAAAGUUGGUUAUUUUGGUUUUACCCCCAGAUCCUCAGUUGUGCAGGAUUUUAUUGUGUUGAUUUGGCUGUUGGUGACAUCUUCAAGAUCAACUUCUUCAAGGGUGCAUUCAAAUCCCAGCACUCCCUGUUUCUGUGUUAAAAAGGGGGGGAAAAGGGUGAACGAUUCAGCUUCAGAAAACAACAAAUAGAGAGUCUCAAAAUCAGUAAAUGCAGUGUUUGUGCUGAAUAUAAAGCACUAGAAAGUGAAAAAAAGAAAAUACAGAGGCAGUGCUCACUGAUACACUGCAACUUUGGGAAACUCUUCAGUGGUUUUCUUUCGUGCUUCUCUGAGAUGAAGCUUGCAACUCUAGAAGGGGACUUUGGCAGAAACUCUCAUUUUGAUGGGGAUUUAGGGGCAGAAGGGCUCUGUAACAGCAAAGUCAGAGCACCAAAUGCAGUGAGCUUGGGAGCAGGUGUCUGCAGAGCCAGUUCUGCAGUGGUGUUAGAGAAACAGGUGCUCAAAAGCAAGCAGUCCAAUUGGUUAGCACUCUGCUGCAGUGGAUGAGAGCUGAGAGACACCUGUGCAAACACAGGUGCUGCUGAUUGUGUGGGUGGGCACUGCGAGCAGUUACAGUCCUGCUGGGAGUUCAGAAGGAGACUUCCCCGAGCUGAGUGCAUGUGUAUGUGCCUGCCUGGGAUUUAUCUCCAAAGUUUCUCCUGCUUGGAUAGCAUCAGGAACCCAUCCUCAUCAUCUUGGCUGCCUUCACCAACACAUCAUCUGCCUGGACACCAUCACCAACCUGUCUCCUGCAUGGCUAGGUUCAGUGGCCCUGAACUGCCAGAUGGGAUGGUUUUAACCAUGGAGAGGGGCAACCACAGCCGUAUGGUUAGGCACCAGAAAUGUGGCCUUGCACACAUCGGGCACAGACACACUGCUCCUGGGAGGUCUCAUCCCCUUAUGAGAGGCAAGCACAAGGCACUCCCACCUGAGCCAGCCUUUGCUAGUGGAGCAGCACAACGUGGCAAAAUGGCCCCAAAGUGCCCCAAAAUGCUGCGAAAUGCCAAGGGAGCUUUCAGCACCUGGCCUGCUUCGGGAGAAGGAGGGGAAGAACAACAAUAAGUAAGUGUCAUUUUAAUAAAAUACAUUUGUGGUGGGGGGAUGGAAUUUGGAUGCGUUUCAUGCUUUGCUGCAGACACCCUAAAAGUCGUCAGCUGAGUGCUUUGCUAAGGGGAAUUUGUCAUGGGGUGGGGGGGAAUGAAAAUGUGGAAGGCAAAGGUCCCCAUUCCUGGGAGCAGAGCAGAGCAGGGACACAAUGCCCACAGAGCAGGGCACAACCCCAAGGCAGGGGGGAGCUGUUGCCAUAUUGCAUACAUUUCAUAUGCUGCUGAAGAUUUUUAACAUAGAUUUUUCUUUUUCUCAAUUUCUGACACGGGUGAGUCAUUGAGAUAUUCAGCAUGGAUAAUAAAAUAUAGGAACAUCUACUGUGUGUGCCUGGGCCUAACGAUAGUCACAAUAUUAGGGCCUGCUGAAUGCCAGUAUAGCAGAAUAGCUUAAGUCCAUGUCAUACAUACAUGAUGAGCUUACAGAUAAAUAGCUCUACAACAAUCCUGUCUUCUCUGCACAACUGCAUGUGCU